GCCGACAACGCGCGUCGCGACGUCGCCAUCGUUCUCCUUCUCUCUUUUUUUCUCUCUUUCUCCUUUUCGUUAUUCUGUCGCACGCGCGCGAGGUCCAGCGGAGAGAGUUUAUUUGUUCUGUUAAUUUUUUCGAAUUCUCUCGGAGCCACGAAGAGAUUCCAAAAAAUAAAAUUGAGUUUUGGAAUCUCAAGUGGAUCACUCGACUAGACCGGACAGUUUUUCAAAAAAGUAGUGUGUUCCUAAGUGUGCUCACAGUGUGAUUUGACGUCACAUAGCUGAUGUGUCGGUGUCGCGCCAGCUUGAAAUUUAAAAAAUUGAAGAAAAAAUAAAGCUUUAUCCUUUGUCUUCGAAGAUACUUCGAUUUUCGGUCUGUCAGAGAACUAUCGCUCUCGAAACAAAUUAUCGUCGUCGUCUAGAAACUCGACUUUUGCUUUAAAAAAAAAAAAAAAAAAAAAAAAAAA